AGCAGCCGCGGUAAUUCCAGCUCCAAUAGCGUAUAUUAAAGUUGUUGCAGUUAAAAAGCUCGUAGUUGAACUUCGGGGUUUACCCAUUGGUCAGGCGUAAUUGUCUGUACUGGUGAGAUGAAUCUCUACCUUCUGAGGAACUUUCAUGCCAUUUAGUUGGUGUGAUAGGAAAUCAGGACUGUUACUUUGAAAAAUUAGAGUGUUUAAAGCAGGCUAACGUCUGAAUACAUUAGCAUGGAAUAAUGAAAUAGGACGGAUUGGUUCUAUUUCGUUGGUUUCUAGGAUCACCGUAAUGAUUAAUAGGGAUAGUUGGGGGCAUUAGUAUUCAAUUGUCAGAGGUGAAAUUCUUGGAUUUAUUGAAGACUAACUAUUGCGAAAAGCAUUUGCCAAGGAUGUUUUCAUUAAUCAAGAACGAAAGUUAGGGGAUCGAAGACGAUCAGAUACCGUCGUAGU
rnacentral:rRNA from 1 species